UAGUCUCUUAUAAAGUUUCCCGACGCCUCCCUUCCAACUCAUCGGCCAGGAAAGCAGCAUCACGUUUCCCGCGGUCGACAUCGAUCAGUAACAUCAGCGGUAACGGGAUGAGAAUUAGGACCGCUAAAAACCCAAACGCAGGCCGAAUCUCUCCGUAUCUAUCAGUAAUCAGGCCAACAAUCGCGGGGCCGAAAAUGCUCGACCCUUUAUCGGUGAUGGCAUACAAUGCAUAAAAGGACGUUUCGAACCCCGGCGGUAUCAACUCUCCGAAAAAGCUGCGACAGUAGGAAGACAACCCACCCAUCACCAAGCCAUAAACGGCCCCCAACACGUACAUCUCCCACGGUUUCUGGAGCCCAAAUACACCCAGCCGUUUAAUCGCCGGGAUGAACCCGAGAAGCCCGUAGAAGGGAAUGAGCUCAAAAACACAAAUGCAAGCGAUGAUGGUCUGUGAGGCCCGAAGGUGUAGCCGCCGUGAGAGAUAGUUCCAGCAAAAGGCGCCGCACACCCCCGAGAUCAUUGCUAUUACGUUGAUCAGGCCAAGGGCAGCAAGUUUCAUAUCCAGUUGCGUUUUGGCAAACAACACAGCAGUGCCGCUCACGGUGGCAAUGCCAUCGGAAAGAAGAAACCACACCGCCAGGAAGAUAAGAACGUCCUUGAGAUGGCGGGCCUGCAGGGCUGUACGCCCGAGGGACUUCCAUGCGUACGUGAUAUAACUAACACAUGGCCACAUUUUACUAUCUCUAGCGGAGCUAGGAAGAGGCGGUCCGGGACGAGGGCGGAGCCACAUAGCAGCUGGGAUCGUAAAGAGCAGCCACCACAAUCCAAUUCCGAAGAGAGUCAACCGCAAAGAGAACGUCGUCGAGCCAGUGGCAACAAUGAUCAGGAUUGACGCUAUUUGUAAAAUAACCGCCCCGAUGUAACCAAUGCCAAUCCCGUUAGAGGAAAUCCUUGUUGAUAACUGGAGCUCUGCUGAUAUUUUUGAGGAUUUGAGCUGAGAGUCGUCAACGGGCACAGUGGCAUCGUCCUGAAGUAGUGGCAAUGUGGGUGACAGAUCGGGCGGGAGACUCUCGCUGGAUUCAGGCUCGACAAGUGCAUUGGAAGAAUGCACAUCAUCAUCAUCAUAACCACUAUCAAGCAAACGACGAACCGGAGUUGAUUGAAUGGUGGGGUGAUGGCGAACAAGCAAAGGCAGAAAGGAAUUGAGUAGAACAAAUGAGGCACCAAAGCAAGUGUUGGCGACAAUCGCGAGCAACGCACCGAGCAAAUAAACUUGUGGGACAACAGCCAGAAAGAGCAUGGUUGAUACCGCCCCCACGACAGCAAAAACCAAGAGCAAUGUCUUGCGGUAGACGCCGUGAUCCGCCGCUCCAGACAUGGAUAUGAUAAGCAGGGAUUGUAUUAAUACGCUCAUCGAAAAUGUGUACAUCGCAAAACUGGCGGUGUUUAUUUCCAUUCCUAGGAAAUAAAUGAUGCACUGGCUAGUUUUGGGCGAAUGAGGACCGUUCGGAGAAGAGGCAGUAGGACUGGGUAAAUCAGAUGCCGUGCCCCAAGUAGCACUGCACGGCGUGGAUUUAUCGGAAAGGAGAACUCCUCGAUCCCUGGCCAUCUGCUCCAGGGUGAUGGGAAGAAAGGACCCUAUGUGUUUCAGCGAUCCAUUAGUUCUCGAAGGCCAAAAAAGGUGAGUUAUACAUAAAAUAAAAAAUGCACGGGAUUUCCCCUCCCGCUGCGGAUGGUUGCCAUGUUCUCAUCGUCAAUGGCAGCUGGGAUGAAGGGACUCACCCAUAGCACAGACCGUAAACACCUCGGCGGCCCACCCAUAGCAGUACCAUCCUGAGAGCUCCUUUUUGCUUGUGGAUCGCGUAUCCUCCCCUGCGUACCUAUGACCCACCGGUUCAUGGGAGUCCAUCAUUGCCUGUUCAUAGGCAACAUCUCGGCCUUUGCAUCAGGACAGGCUAUGAGGCGGUGGGAGAAAAUAGACAGGAGAUACGCUUUUCGAAAACAAACAACGGGAACGGAUGUAAACAGUGCAAACAAGCCAAGCCA
rnacentral:sRNA from 2 species